rnacentral:rRNA from 1 species
GACGAACGCUGGCGGCGUGCCUAAUACAUGCAAAUCGAGCGAAGCGGCGGAUGGGUGAGAAACGCGUGGGUAACCUGCCCUUAAGUCUGGGAUACCAUUUGGAAACGGAUGCUAAUACCGGAUACUAAAGGAUGGACCUGCGGUGCAUUAGCUAGUUGGUAAGGUAACGGCUUACCAAGGCGAUGAUGCAUAGCCGGAGUGAAGGACUGAUCGGCCACAUUGGGACUGAGAAACGGUCCAAACUCCGACGGGAGGGAGCAGUAGGGAAUCUUCCAAAAUGGACGAAAGUCUGAUGGAGCAACGCCGCGGUAGUGAAGAAGGUUUUCGGAUCGUAAAGCUCUGUUGUUGGUGAAGCGGUAAUCAACCAGAAAGCCACGGCUAACUACGUGCCAGCAGCCGCGGUAAUAC